UACGUAGGGAGCAAGCGUUGUCCGGAAUCAUUGGGCGUAAAGCGCGCGUAGGUGGCUUCGUAAGUCCGUUGUGAAAGUCAAAGGCUCAACCUUUGAAAGCCGAUGGAUACUGCGGAGCUAGAGUACGGAAGAGGCGAGUGGAAUUCCUGGUGUAGCGGUGGAAUGCGCAGAUAUCAGGAGGAACACCAAUAGCGAAGGCGGCGCUCUGGGCCGGUACUGACGCUGAGGAGCGAAAGCGUGGGGAGCAAACAGG
rnacentral:rRNA from 1 species